CUUUUUUGCUUGCCUGUCUUCUAACCAUGCCUCCUUCCCUUCUUCCUCCCCUGUCUAUUUCCUACCCUCCUCCCCUCCUUGCCUCCUUUUCUUUCCCGUAAUUAAUGUCCAUUUCCCAUCUCCCUGGCAGCCUCUGCCAAGUGUCACUGCUCCCCAUAAGGGAAAAUCAGAGGAACAAGCAAGUGCAUCCAUCCUGCCUCUCUCCGCAGUGAACUGAUAAACCCAUCAGUCUUGCCCGUGGUGCACCUGUUACUUCCCCGGGAGGUGUUGGACACUGUGGGGAACAGCAGCCACCGCCAAAUACUCAGCAACUGCCCUGUACCUGGUGGGAUGGGGUCAUCUAGCCCAUUCCCCGCCUCCAGGCGAGGAUUUGCCUGAGCCUGGAAAGACGAAGGAUCCUCCCAGUGCCGUCAAGUCCCGGAUUCCACCUCCCUGUAGGUGGACUGCCAGCGCAGGCCCUGACAACGCAGAGAAAGACACAGGACGCAGCUGGGCCAGUGACAGCAGGAGCUCCUGGUGCCGCAGGAAUGGAAACUGUGACUCAUAAUAGUCAGCCAGCCAGUCAAUGAUUAUCCCCCCCAGGCCCUGGCGCAUCAAG
rnacentral:lncRNA from 1 species